AUUGAACGCUGGCGGCAGGCUUAACACAUGCAAGUCGACCGAGUGGCGGACGGGUGAGUAAUGUCUGGGAAUCUGCCUGAUGGAGGGGGAUAACUACUGGAAACGGUCGCUAAUACCGCAUACUAUCAGAUGAUCCUAGGUGGGAUGAGCUAGUUGGGUGGGUAACGGCCCACCAAGGCGACGAUCCCUAACUGGGCUGAGAGGAUGACAAGCCACACUGGAACUGAGACACGGUCCAUACGCCUACGGGAGGCAGCAGUGGGGAAUAUUGGACAAUGGGCGAAAGCCUGAUGCAGCCAUGCCGCGUGUAUGAAGAAGGCCUUCGGGUUGUAAAGUACUUUCAGCGGGGAGGCGUUACCCGCAGAAGAAGCACCGGCUAACUCCGUGCCAGCCGCCGCGGUAAUUC
rnacentral:rRNA from 1 species